GCUUAGCCAUAAACUUAGGUAGUUGACUAAACAAACCUAUCCGCCAGAGAACUACUAGCAAUAGCUUAAAACUCAAAGGACUUGGCGGUGCUUCACAUCCCUCUAGAGGAGCCUGUUCUAUAACCGAUAAACCCCGAUAAACCUCACCACCUCUUGCUAAUUCAGUCUAUAUACCGCCAUCUUCAGCAAACCCGUAAAAGGAAUAACAGUAAGCAAAAAUAUCUUAACAUAAAAAAGUUAGGUCAAGGUGUAACCCAUGAGGUGGAAAGCAAUGGGCUACAUUUUCUAUACAAGAACACCCUACGAAAGUUUUUAUGAAACCAAAAACCAAAGGAGGAUUUAGUAGUAAGCCAAGAAUAGAGUGCUUGACU
rnacentral:rRNA from 1 species